rnacentral:ncRNA from 2 species
GAAAAGAAUAGCAUUUCAAGUGUCCCCGCAGGCGUUCGGCUUCCGGGGAAGAAUAGAGAAUCGGGUGAAAAUCCCGGACGGAACCGCCGCUGUAUGCGCUUGAUAUCCGCACUCGUUGACGAAAGUCGGUCACUGGGAAACCGGGAAGGCAGAGUGCUGAGCGGGAGGAGACUCCCCCAGGCGCAAGUCAGAAGACCUGCUUGAAAUCCAUGUAGCCC